GACAGGAGGGUGCAAACGUUGCUCGGAAUUACUGGGCGUAAAGCGCGUGUAGGCGGUUCCGCAAGUCAGGUGUGAAAGCCCAGGGCUCAACCCUGGAAGUGCACUCGAUACUACGGAGCUUGAGUACUGAAGAGGAGAGCGGAAUUCCCGGUGUAGAGGUGAAAUUCGUAGAUAUCGGGAGGAACACCAGUGGCGAAGGCGACUCUCUGGGCAGAUACUGACGCUGAGACGCGAAAGCAUGGGGAGCAAACAGGG
rnacentral:rRNA from 1 species